rnacentral:rRNA from 1 species
GACGAACGCUGGCAGCGUGCUUAACACAUGCAAGUCGAACGGAAAGGCCCUGCUUUUGUGGGGUGCUCGAGUGGCGAACGGGUGAGUAACACGUGAGUAACCUGCCCUUGACUUUGGGAUAACUUCAGGAAACUGGGGCUAAUACCGGAUAGGAGCUCCUGCUGCAUGGUGGGGGUUGGAAAGUUUCGGCGGUUGGGGAUGGACUCGCGGCUUAUCAGCUUGUUGGUGGGGUAGUGGCUUACCAAGGCUUUGACGGGUAGCCGGCCUGAGAGGGUGACCGGCCACAUUGGGACUGAGAUACGGCCCAGACCCCUACGGGAGGCAGCAGUGGGGAAUAUUGCACAAUGGGCGGAAGCCUGAUGCAGCAACGCCGCGUGCGGGAUGACGGCCUUCGGGUUGUAAACCGCUUUCGCCUGUGACGAAGCGUGAGUGACGGUAAUGGGUAAAGAAGCACCGGCUAACUACGUG